GAUGAACGCUGGCGGCGUGCCUAAUACAUGCAAGUCGAGCGAACGGACGAGAAGCUUGCUUCUCUGAUGUUAGCGGCGGACGGGUGAGUAACACGUGGAUAACCUACCUAUAAGACUGGGAUAACUUCGGGAAACCGGAGCUAAUACCGGAUGAUAUUUUGAACCGCAUGGUUCAAAAGUGAAAGACGGUCUUGCUGUCACUUAUAGAUGGAUCCGCGCUGCAUUAGCUAGUUGGAAGGUAACGGCUUACCAAGGCAACGAUGCAUAGCCGACCUGAGAGGGUGAUCGGCCACACUGGAACUGAGACACGGUCCAGACUCCUACGGGAGGCAGCAGUAGGGAAUCUUCCGCAAUGGGCGAAAGCCUGACGGAGCAACGCCGCGUGAGUGAUGAAGGUCUUCGGAUCGUAAAACUCUGUUAUUAGGGAAGAACAUAUGUGUAAGUAACUGUGCACAUCUUGACGGUACCUAAUCAGAAAGCCACGGCUAACUACGUG
rnacentral:rRNA from 1 species